rnacentral:rRNA from 1 species
UACGAAGGGGGCUAGCGUUGCUCGGAAUUACUGGGCGUAAAGGGAGCGUAGGCGGAUAGUUUAGUCAGAGGUGAAAGCCCAGGGCUCAACCUUGGAGUUGCCUUUGAUACUGGCUAUCUUGAGUACGGAAGAGGUAUGUGGAACUCCGAGUGUAGAGGUGAAAUUCGUAGAUAUUCGGAAGAACACCAGUGGCGAAGGCGACAUACUGGUCCGUUACUGACGCUGAGGCUCGAAAGCGUGGGGAGCAAACAGG